AAUAUCAAUGUAAAUAACUUAACGAACAAUAAAAUAUGAUCGAACUAAAUUCUUAUCAAGUAUUUAUUGAGUCGAGAAUCGAGUUUGGAAUCCGAUUAGUUGACACCAACUUUAUCGUAAUAAGUUAUAUUUUUAUUUUUUAUUGCAUGAAUUAUAAAAAUAUUGCAUUUGAUAAUUUUUUAUUAAAUUGAUUAAUAGAACGUUUUCUAUAACACAUCCAAUAAAAUGAAAUGAAAUUGGUGUCAAUGUGAGUUUGUUUGUAGGGUACCGGUACACGUUGUAAACAUUUUUAUUAAUAUUGUGAGAGAGAUCGAGGAUGUAGAGAAGAAUUGUUUUGCCGUCAAGAAGAAGGUAUAGGAGUCGCAUCAAAGAAGUAGGUCAAUUAGACACGACAAAAAUGGUGGUCGACGGAUUCGAUGAUAAGUAGUAUGUACG
rnacentral:lncRNA from 1 species